ensembl:lncRNA
GUACAUGCACAUAGGUAUACAUAUUUACACAAGGUGUAUUGUGAACAUGUACAAAAAUACACAUAUUUAUACACAGAUGUAUUGUGUAGUGCACAUAGGUAUACAUAUUUAUACAAGGCGUAUUGUGUGCAUGCACAUAGGUACACACAUUUAUACACAGGUAUAUUGUGUAGUGCACAUAGGUAUACAUAUUUAUACAAGGUGUAUUGUGAACAUGCACAAAAAUACACACAUUUAUACACAGGUAUAUUGUGUAGUGCACAUAGGUAUACAUAUUUAUACAAGGUGUAUUGUGUGCAUGCACAUAGGUACAUACAUUUAUACACAGGUAUAUUGUAUACAUGCACACAGGUACACAUUUAUGUAAGUGUAUUGUGUACAUGCACAUAGGUAUACAUAUUUAUAUACAGCUGUAUUGUGUCAUGCACAUAGGUACACAUAUUUAUGUAAGGUGUGUUGUGUACAUGCACAUAGGUACACAUGUUUAUACACAGAUGUACACACACAUUUGUAGACAGUGGAUAUAUUUGUGCACCUGUGCAAUACAUAUGUGUAUAUAUACAUUUGCAUGCAUAUGCUGUCCGACUGACUUGAUUGUUAGAAAUGCAAGUUUUGGUUUUUGAUGAUGUAUUUCAUUUUACACUGCUUUGGGCAGUGGGAUUGGUCAUGAUUAGUUCCCUGGGCUAGGUAUGGGAACAAUCCUCAGACCUGAGAGUAGCAGAGGCUUCCUGUGAAACAGAGCUGGACAUACAGCUCAGAACCUGUACUGCCACCUGCUGCUUGGAGGAGUGAGUGACAGAAGAAAGGAUUUUUUUUUUUUUUUUUUUUUUUUUUUUUGUUGCCAUCUGCUACUUAGAAGAGUUUAUGUUGCUUUGGCAACCCAGAAAAAAAGCAGAUGGCAGAGAAGCACUUUCCCUCCUUACCACCUCCUCCCACUCCCUUCAGCGGAUCAAAAAGGCCCAGGAAAGGAACAUCCUAAGAGUAUGUGGUCUUAAAUAACACAAGAGUGAAGAGGUCUAGGAAUACCAUUUUUUCCCUACCUCCUUUCUAUAACUCACCCCAUUGAGAGAAAAAGAACUAAAUGUUCUAAAUAAUUAAUGGUCCAGAGUUGUAACACCUGGCACAGGUGAUCAUUAUUUUUUAUAUGCCUACUUUAUGUAGUUCUGUACUUUGCGCCAUUCCAUGCAAUAUUUUAGUGUGUUUCAAGUUUAUGGGAGAAAUGUUAAAUUUAAAUUAUUUUUGCUUUGCCUUCUAUUUACUCCUUCUGAAUAAAAGUUAGAGGCAUUACUUCUGCUGAUUUUUUAAUAACUGGAGACACCAGUGGGGGCUUAGGAGUCAUUUGGUGAGUAGCAAAGAAGUUAUCUAGAUCCUAAAGGCAGUUGGGUGUAGCCAGUUCUGGAAAACCCUAUCUUAUCAGUAGGAGUUGUCCUCAACAAGAUUCAAUAGAAAAAGCACUAGAUUUGUAGUUAGAGAAUCACUGAACUUCUUGGUACCUUAGUUUCUUUAUAUAUAAAAUGAGGAAAUUGGACUAAAUAGUCUUGAAGAGUCCUUUCAGCUCUAAAUCUACAAUUUUGGAAAUAUCUCCCCACAAAAGAAAAAGCCCCAGAGGGCAAUCCGAUAUGUUUGGUGGGACCUUCCAUUAACUUCUGGCUCCCAAAGAUAUUGUUUAAAAAUCCUUAAUAAAACAUUACAGACCAAGAGACAAAUUUUCCCAAUGUCCCUCCUUCUGUCUCUGUCUCCCCCUCUCUCUUCCUCCUUCCUUCCCCCUCCUGUCUCUAAUAUGGACUCACUAAAUUCAUUCCCAGAUGCAAGCACUGAGGACAGGCAGGGUAGAGAGUAAAAAGAACCUGCUUUGGUGGUGAAGAAUCAUUACUUGCUGUCUUUUGGAUCCGAAUACCUGGUGUACAGAGGGAUAGGGAUUAGAUCUGUGAUUUGGCUGAUAUGAAGAACUUCCAGUGAGGAGCAUCUUCUCCCAAUGCAAAUCUGUACAUUCUCUGAAAUUCAUGGUCAGAGAAAGUCAACUAACACAUGAAGAUGUUUAAAUAAUUUGCCCAAGAUCACAAAGUUAGUAUGUGUCAGAAGUGGGGCUUGAAUAAAGGUCUUUCUGACUCAUAUCUGGUGUACAGUAGAUAUUUAAUAAAUACUUGUCGACUUAUUUACGAUGGUGUUAUAAACUUUAAGAAUACCUUAAAAAGAACUCAAGGGAAACAUAGAAUUUGUGUUUUUUUCUCUCAUAAAUCAAAACAUGUUGGUUUGAACUGAAUUAAAAUUUCAAGAUGUGCAGAAGUACUUCUCUCUCUUAAAAACAAAAUUUAGUACCUUCAAGAUCAUGUCACCAAUGUUGGUCUCAGGUUUCCCUUUGGCACUGUGUCAUACAACAGAAAAAUCUCAGGCACCCUGGGGCUAUGAAAGUCAGCCUAACGUUAAAAGAAGAGCCAAAUAUUUCAAUUUCAUUUGUUUUAAGUCUCCUAAAACAGCUACUCCCUAAAAAAAGAAAAUACCUAAUUAUAUGAAAUUGCUCAUUCAUCUCAGAAUAAACUAGAAUCUGAUUUGAUAUUUUUUCUCCUUUCUUUUGACAAUAUUUCUUUUUUUCCUUCUUAUCCUUAUACUGUCUUUCCCCUGUAUAUAGGUAAAACAUUUACCUUCUGUCAUGUCUGUCUCCAUGCUUUCUGGCUUUUGAAUUUUUUUUCCAUCAAUUCUGAUUUAUCACUGAGGACAUGAAAUCUCCAGUUGUUCAAGUAUCACAUCAUCCAACACUAUCAGUGCUACAGGAGUCAGGUGAGUAAGCAACCAAGGGUUAAAGUUAUAUAAUUCACUUUCAAUUGAGAAUAAAGUUGGCUUUUUUUUUUUUUUUUUUUUUUGGUGUGUGUUAAUUCCAUGCUUUCUAGCUUUCUGGAAAAUCAAACCUUUUCAUUAACUCUCCUAACUGAUAAAAUGCAGGCAAUUCACCAAUUAGGUUCUAUACUUUUAAAAUAAAAAAAACAAAAAACUAACACCAACAUCAUACUCUGCACACACACACACACACACACACACACAAGACUGAGAUGUGCAUUACUGAUAAGAACUAGUUUUGAUUUUCUCCAUUAUGAUGCAAAACUCAUUAGUUCUUGGAUCUGUGACAAAUUUUAAUUGGCCAAGCUAUGAAAACCUCAUAGAGCUAUUAUGCUUUACACCUGUGAUAGCCAACAUGUUAAUCAAGAAAAUUAGAGGGGGGACCUAGAAAAUCUCUUUCUACUACUGUGAAUAAGUUUUGUUUAAUCUGAGAAGAUUAACAACUGCUUUAUGGGAUCUCAAAUUAUCACACUUUUUAUGAGAUCGAAAUCAGAUUCAUCACAAGUAAGCAACAUAUAUCAUUGAUGACCAGAAUGAUACAUCUGCUAAGAGAUAUUAGGUCCUCAUGUUAACUUUGACUUUGAAACACUUUGUAGACAGACAUGAAAGGGUCACAUGACAUUGGCAGCAUAACACAAAUUAUGACAUCCAAUAACACAGGAAAUUUGAUAUCUCCAAAGUAAUAGGUUCCAGAGGAAAAAAGGAAGGAGGGCAAGUAAAUCAAUUUAGUUCUCUCAGCAUUUUGUACUCUUCUCUGGAAUGGUAAAUGGCAAUAUAGUUUCUGGGGAGAAUCCCACCAGGUCAAUUUCCAAGCUUAACAAAGGCAACAAUAUCUAAUAAAAGUUUCCUUCCAUUUUUGUUUUUAGGUUUCUCUAAACCCCACCUCCCUCUUUCUUAGACAAAGUAGACAAUGAGAAAUUCAGAGUCAUUGAGCUCUUCUGGAAAAGCAUGGAGCUAGGAAUUAGAAAAUCUAAGCUCUAAUCUUAACUCUGCUAUUUAUUAGCUGUGCAACUAGGACAAGUCACCUGAAAAUAAGUAGGUGUUUGGAUUAAAUGGUCUUAAGUCUUAACAUUUUAUUUUUACAACCUAAGGUUUCUUCAGUGACCUAGAAUUCAAUGUUGUAAGGGCUCUCCCAGUUCAGAUGGUCUCUAUUAUAUGAUUUAAUGUUACUUAGAGCUCUUACACUUUUAUGAUUCUGUGACAUAAGCAGUUGAAAAUAUAAAUGCUGAGUAAAGUGCUAAUCAGAAAUAAUGAUCUUGCCAAAGUAUUUUCUCAUUUUCUUGUAUUUUUUUCAAAAUGUAUGUACCUAAUCUAUGAAAGAUACUCCCAUUUACCACGAGGUCAUUGCUACACUUUGGAGCAUCAAUAACUCAGUUAUUUCACCCCAUUCAUAAUGUCCCAAUCCUAUUUUGAUUGGACCAAAAAAACUACCUUUAUCAUUCAGUCAUUCAACAAGCAUCUGUUAUUGAGAACCUACCAAACCAGCACUGUUCUAGAUACUGGGGCUAAAAAGACAAGAAUAAAACUCCCUGACCUCAAGGAGCCUACAUUCUUACAAGGGGAGACAACGAAUACAUAUAUGAAUAUGUAAAAAUUGUAUUCAAAAUAAAUACAAGUUAAUUUUGGGAAAGAAAAACUAGGAGUAUCAUAUUACCUUAGGGAAGUCUAUGAGGCUCAGUUUCUUUAUCUGUAAAAUGAGAAUAAUAAAGUUUUUGCUACCUAUCUCACAGGGCUGUUGCUGUUAAGAUGGCUUUUGAGUCGAGCUUUGAAGGAAAGUGGAAAUUCUAAAAGAGAAAUGGGAUAAAACAGUGUAUUACAGGCCUGGGGAAUAGUUUAUCCAAAGGUUUGAAGAUGGGAGAUAGAAAGUUAUAUUUCAGGAACUGAAAGAAAGCCAGUUUGAAAAGUUUUGAGUGUUAGAUAGAAAAGCUUAUUUUUAAUUUUAAAGGCCAUAGACUCACUAUGGCUCUAAGGGCUUCCUAGAAUGUACUGAAUAGGAAAAGCAGUGAAAAGUUCUUUCAAAGCAAGAAUUACUUAGUAGCAUUGCUGUCUUCUCCAGACUGGGAUGCUUACUCUAUCCCAGCUCCACACCACAACUUAGAGGGAAGAACUAUGGAAGGCUUGAAAUUAUUUGACAAAUGAACUUGAUCCUCACCCCCUCUAUUAGAUUGAUCACUUCUUCCCCUUCUUGCCCUCUCUUCCCACGAAUGUGCUAUAUCAGAAAGAGUCUUUGAAUAUCAGCUCGGUACUCCAAAGACUCAGGAUCAAAUCCCAUCUUUGAUACUAACUAUGCUCUUGGGGAUUAAUUUUCUCAUCUAUCAAAUGAGAGGCUUGGAGUAGAAGGCCUCCAAGGUCCCUUUCAACUGUUAUUCUUUGAGUAUAAUUCUUACUUUCUCUUCUCUAACCCCUACUUUGGCUUGAAGGCACAGGAUCAGAAUUACAGCUAAAAAGGACCCUAGAGACCCCAAAGUCUUAUUGAAGUCUUGAAAUGUCAAAUGACUUGUUUAAGAUCACAUACAGGCAAACAUGAAUAUGUGUGUGUAUAUAGUUGAUAUUUUACAUAUAUAUAUAGCUAUAUACAUAUAUAAAUAUAUACAUAUACAUUUACAAUAUAUGUAAAAUAUUAAAUAUAUUUAAAUAUAUUAAAGUUGGGAUUGAAUUCAGGUCAAUAAGGUUUCGGUAGAACACCAAUUUUUGAAUUUAAAGUUUGUUCUACUGUAUCACAGAAAAAUGUAAAGGAAAGGAAAAAUAGAAUCCCAGAAUUGGAGGCUAUCACAGCAUCUUAGAGCUCAAUUAUUCCAAUUCCAUUUUGCACAUGGGGUAACUGAAGUCAAGAAAUGAGAAGUGAUUUAUCCAAGGUUACACAAUUUGUCCAUGGUAUAAUAGUGUCAAAAUUGGUCUCUUGACGCUAAAAUCUUUGUUCUUUCUACUAGAGUGAAGAAACAAAGAGAACAAACUGAAGGAUAACCAGCAGAAUGUAUUCUUGUACAUGUGCAUGUGGGGAAGGAGGCAGGAUUGGGACACAACUUAAAAAUGCUAAAAGGAGAAUUAAAAUGUCUUCCUCUAAUCCUCACUCCCCUCUUUGCCUUAAGCUUAGUAUUAAGGAAGCAUCUUGACAUUUUCAUUCUCAAUGCUCUUUUUCAUUUCUCUAGUAUACACUUAGAAGCCUGAAAAUGUUUUUUGACAAGUUUAAAUAAGUAUAAUAACAAAUAAUUAGAUGACCUUAACUCACCAUACCAGUGCACCAUAACCUCAUGUCCCCAACCCCUGCUCUAGAAUUUUGAUAAUGAGCCCUCAUCUAAUAUAGAAGGAAGUGGAAUUCCCACCCGUGGUCUAAGGUUGGAAGCUUCCAGUGUAAGAUUCAGGGCAAUAACUGGAUUUGUUCCCUAAAUGCUACUCCAGCCCCUUUGACUAGCACUAAUCUACUUUUAAGAGAUUUGAAAUAAAAAUAAACACUGUGUUACGUUAUAUAUCCAAUUUACAAGGAAAAGACAUUCAGGCAACUGUUACGCAUAAUAGAAAAGAUUAAAAGACAUUCUCUUAGUAAUCCUAAGUGUAAUAGAAAAGAUUCUAAGCAUAUUUAGAGUAAUUAUGCCAAGUAUGAUCUGAAUAAUACUUUCUAUUUCAAGAAAAUUAAACCUAUUAGGAAUUUGUAAAAAAAAAAUGUACUAAACCCCCUCAUCACUAACUUAUAGAAUAUCAGUUAGAAUAUUCUUAGUGCUUAUUUAGUCCACUCUUUCCCCCUGCCCCUCAUUCCAUUUUAUAGAUGAAGAAUGUGUUAUUCAGUCAUUUCAGUCAUGUCCAACUCUUCAUGACCCCACUUGGGAUUUUCCUGGCAAAGUUACUGGAGUCAUUUGCUAUUUCCUUCUCUAGCUUAAAUACAGAUGAGGAAACUGAGGCAAACAGGAUCACAUAGAUAAUAUGUGUCUGAGGUUAGAUUUGAACUCAGAAAAAUAAGCCUGACUCCAGACCCAGCACUCCAUCCACUGCAGCUGCAUCUAUCUGUGAAACUCAAACUUAAAGAGGGAAUAGAUCUUGUCUAAAGUCAGCAAAAUAUCUGUCUUCUAAUAUAGAGCUCAGAAUUGACAUUUUGCUUCAGUGAUGAUCUAUGUUUUCUUUCUCUCAAUAGCAUGUAAAUUCCUUAAGGGCAGGGGUUAUUUCAUGCAUAUUUUUGCAAUCCCAAGGCCUAGCACUGUGCCUGGAACAGAGGGAUAGGAAAUAGAUCUGUGAUUACACCAGUGUAGAGUAUUAGCAAUGAAAAGCUUCCUUUCCCCGUGCAAAUCUGUACAUUCUCUGAAAUUCAUGGUCAGAGAAAGUCACCUAACACACGAAGAAGUUUAAUUAAUUUGCCCAAGAUCAGAAAGCUAGUAUGUGUCAGAAGUUGGACUUGAAUGAAGGGCUUUCUGACUUGAAAGCCAACUUUUAAUCCACUAGACCAAGAAGCAUCUUUUAUCUGGUGUAGAGUAGACCUUUAAUAAAUGCUUGUCAACAUAUUGAUGAUGGUGUCCUAAACUCUAAGAAUACAAACUCCUCAAAAGCAGGGCUUUUGACCUCCAGUCAAAGCUUUCAUUCUAUUGCUUUUUUUCACCAACAUCUGUGCCACGUAGUGUGUAUUUGUGUUUAUUCUGGGAAAUGAGAGAGGAUGGAUUUGGCAAAUGAUAAAGUAUGGGUAACCUCUAUUUAUCAAUACUUUGGACUCUUGCCAUUUUAGCACAUUUGACAGCAUGAAUGUUGGAAAGAAUGCUGAUUCCUUCCAGUUUUAAAUGGAAGGAGAAUCACAUGCUAGGAGAUCUCAGUUAACUAACUAGACUGAGCAUUGAUUCACUUGUCCUGGCAAGCAUAUUCUUAGCAUCUCGAAAUGAAUGUCUCUGACCUGUAGAAGUAGCACUUUCUGCUUAUCUGGAUUCAAUAUCCUGGAUUUUUACUUUAUUUUUUAGCUUCAAAAGCAUUAACAAAAGUUGUGUUUGAAUUAAUAGCAACCAAAAACCUCUUAAGAGAAGGAAGGGGAAGAAGUCUCAAGUUUUAGUUUUAAGUGAAGAAAAUGAAAGAUGGUGGGGUAAAGGAGUCUUCAUCCACAAAGCAUAUUCAGUGACAGAAUCAGAAAUGAAAUAAGUUUAACUCUCAGACAGUUCUCACAAACUCAAGCAAAGAGAUAGGCUACCCAUCAAUAAAUAACUGCCAUUUCCAAAGAUGUGCCAUAGAGCUGGGAUAUUUGAUAAAAUGAAUAUCCUAAGGAAAUAGUAAUUAAAAUUUUAUUCAUUUUAAGCCCACUAAUUUGAAAUUUGUUAUAAUACAGGGCAGGAAUGAAGUUUACCUUUCGAUGUUAGUGGGGAUUUGAGGGAGGGAAAACUUGUAACAUAACAUUAAUUAACAUUAACAUAUUAACAUAACAAUAAAUUAACAUAACAAUAAAAAAGAAGGAAAGAACACUUGUUCUGGAGUCAAAAGUCCACAUAGCCUUAUUACUGACAUGAACUUGGGGAAGUCACAACUUCUUUGGGCCAUGCUUGUAAAACAAAAGGAUUGAACUAAAUUUGCGCUUCCUCCAGCUCUGAAUAUGUGAUCAGUAUAUGUGACAGUGAAGGAAUCCUUUAAUCUAUUUAAGAAAGCCAAUUAUUUUCAAUUGCUCUCAAAACCACUUUAAUAGCAUUUUUGCCAUGCAAACUAAGAGGAAGCAUCCUUUGUGAAUGAUUCUUAUUCAUUCAUUGAAGCAGCCCUAAGGAGCCUCUAUUUGACAAUUGCUACAACUACACAUAUCACUUUAUUAGUCAAUAAUCUUAGCUCCAGUUGCUGCAUAUUUUUAAAGAUAAUAAAAAUACAUUUACUUUCAAAGCCAAAUAUUUUAUCCUUUUAGACUAGACUUCCCCUAAUUAUUUUAGAAUCAGUGGGACUGAAUUGUAUUGGUAAAUUUGUGGAACAGAUUUCUUUUUUUUUUCUCUCUUAUGGGCUGAUUUUCUUUGGCUUAGUCUAAUUUCUUUUUAGCUUUGAGCCACUGGGGCUAUGCAAAUUUGUGUCAGCUUUAUCCACCCUACCAAGAGCUCAGCCUGUGACUAAAUCUGCUGGCAGUCAUAGACUUAUACCUUGUCAGUAGAAGGAGGCCAGAGCCUUGCUGCAAUAUGCCUUCUGGCUGAUUGACCAGAAAUUCAAUCAUAACACUAUCACUUCAAAAAUUUCUUUCAUAUAUCAUUUACAAAAAAGGUUUCCCAUCUAAAUUUUCAUUCAACUCUUCCUGGAUUUUGAAAAUGCAUUUGAAGGCUGGAUUUGUUUGAUUUGGGAAACAAAAUUGCAUAUAUGGGAGUUUGUUUUCCCCUUCUGCUAUUGGAUGGAACUAGUAGUUUUGAGAAAUGAAUAAUCCCAUUGAUUCAAUGAUACCAUGAACAGUUUUUUAAGUGCUUUUCCAUAAAUGAGAUAGUACUUUAUUCAAUCCCUGAAAUCAGCAGUCUUUGAUGAACCUUUUACAUAAGAAAUAAGGAUGCUGAGCUGUUAUUUUCAUAGGGAUAGCAUGUGUUUUUCCCUAAUGGAGCAGCUAGGGUUUUCUGCUACUUAUAUCUGAUCUGAAGGUAUUCUCUUUGCUUAAGAUUAUACUAUACAUCUAGACUGUCAAAAAAAAGUACCAGAAGUAAUAUUUAAGAGUCGGUAUUUUUUUUCACAGUUUUCAGAUACAUUAUUUUACUUUAUUCUCACAAACUUUCUUGUCAGGCAAGGAAGUUAUGUCACCAAAGAACUGUAAUCAUCCCUUAGUUCAACCUUCUAUCAUAUACAGGAAUGCCAACCACAGGUACUCAUUCUUCCUUUGCUUGAACACUUUCAGUAAAGGGAAACUCCUUAUUGUAUGAUAUAUUCUUUUCCAUUCUUGAACCCCUGUAAUUGUUAUGAGAGGUAACCAUAGUAUAUUGGAUAGAAAGCCUGCCUCACAAUCAAGAAGACCUGUGUUUAAAAAUCAUUUUUGACACAUUCUAGUUAUAUGACUUUGGGUUAAGUCAUAGUUACUUCACAGUUUCCCUAGGGAAUUCUCUAAGACUCUAAGUUAAAGAAUGGUUGUAUAAAUGGAGAGAGAAAUCACAGAUUUGCCUCAAAAGAAAAAAUGUUAUCAAAUAUUAUUUAUAUGCAAAAGUGGCACUUGCACUAACUAG